rnacentral:lncRNA from 1 species
UCCCUUGAACUUUUUCUGUUUCCUCAUUUAUAAAGUACAUAUAAUGAGAGUAUUUAUCUGACUGGGUUGUUGAAAAUUUAAAUAGAAUGAAUGGAAAGGAAUGUGUCAAAAAGUUAGCACACAGUCAGCUUCAAAACAGUAGUAAUAUUAGGGCUCUCAUAAAUGAUUCAGAUAAGGUUAUUCAGAGAGACAUCCACCUCUGUCAAAAAUAGAGUAACAGAUGAUGGAUUUACCAUCCUUCUUGAAAAAAAAAAGACAGAAAAACACUGGAUAAAAUAUAUGAAGCAAUGCUUUUCAAGACACUAAGCAUGAGGCAAUGGAGGACAGUGACUCCUGAGAGAUGGGAAAUAAAUGAGAUGAACCCUAUGAUUGUCCCAGUUUACUGAGAAUCUCCUGGCUGCAAUGCAGGAGGGGAAAACACAGGUGGAGCCCAGAAGACUUCCUGAGUUGAGAAGAUGGACUUGAGAGUUUGGAGAGACAAAGGCAACUAUAGUUUUCAAGAAAAUGUACUGAAGAUAUAUAAAUAGAUUUAAAACGAAAUAGAAGAAAAUAUAUCAUGUUAACACUAACUAAAAGGAAGCUAGAUUAUCUAUAUUAAUAUAAGAUAAAGUAGGAUUCAGAGCAAAGAAUAUUACCUGGGUAAAUGAAGGUCAUAUCAUAAUGAUAAAGGUGUCAAUUCAUCAGGAGGACAUAACUCUCAAUGUUUUUAAGUGUCUAAUAACUGAGCUUCGAAGUAUAUGCAGUAAAAACUGGGAGAACUGCAAGGAGAGCUAGACGAAUUCACGAUUAUAGUUGGGUGUUUUAAUAUCUCCCCUCAAUAACUGACUGAAAAAGUAGACUGAAAAUCAAUAGGGCUAUGGAAGGCUUAAACAGCACAUUCAACCAUCUUGAUCUAAUUGAUGUUUACACAAUACUCCACCCAACAGGAGCAGAAUUCUUUCCUGGGAGUCAUGGAACAUUGAUCUGGUUAGACCAUAUUCUGGACCAUGAAACUAAUCGCAAUAAACUUAAAAGGAUUCAAAAAACACAAUGUAUGUUUUCUGACCACAUGGAUUUAAAUUAUCAACCAACGACAAGAAGAUAUCUGGAAUAUCCUCAAAUACUUAGAAACUAAAUAACACAGUUCUAAGUUACCCAUAGGUCAUAGAAGAAAUAAAAAAGGAUAUAAGAAGGUAUUUUGAACUUAAUGAAAAAGAAAAUACGCCAGUUGAGCGGUACUUAUGGGGAGGUGUACAACACUAAACACCUGGACUGUGGGGUGUGUGUGUGUGCAUGUGCAUGUCUUGGUGGCAGCAAGACUUAUAAAGCUACAAUAAUCAAGACAGUGAGUUAUUGGCAUAAAGAUAGACAAAUAGAUCACUGAAACAGAAUAGAGAGUCUGGAAAUAGACCUAUACACAUAUAGGUAUACAUGAUCAUAAAACAAAAAUUGAAAAUGACUAGAUUUUAUGAUAUAUGUGUAUUUUUGAAGAUAUGAGCCUAGAAAUGUAGGCAGGGGUCUUGCAUAUCUUUUGGGAAAGUUCUAAUAUAUUAUCCUUACAUAAUAUAUGAUCAUUGAAGAAUUAUAGAGAGGGAAUAACAGGAUAAGAUUUAUUUUAGGAACAUCAGAAGUGGUAUGGAAGGUGGAUUAUAGAAAGGGGGAAUUUGAUUCAGGCAGUAUAAUUAGGAGGCAGUGAGUCUGAGGAAAGGAGGGGGUAGAUUUGAGAGGUAUUUGAGAAGAUAUAACCCAUGGUUCUGUCUGGCUUAUUUAAUGGGUGAAGGAUAACCGAGUGAGAGGUAUCUUGGACAGCUUAUAGAUUUCCAUCUUGGAAUUCUGAGCAGAGACCAAUGCCAUUCAGAGAACAGGAGAGCAGUAAGUUUUGGAGGGCUCUUGAUGGUUCAGUUUUGGAUUUGUUGAGUUUGAGGUUCUUUGAGGACUCCUGAAGGGAACUGCCCAGUACUAAGAAAGAUACUUGGUGCUAGAGGUCAGGAAAGAGGACUGGUAUUGAGGUAAGAAUGUGGAAGUGUUCAGUGUUUGUAUGGAAAUUGAAGCCGUAGACUUGAAGUUUCAGAGAAAGAAUGGAAAAUGGAAAUUGUAAGUCUGGAAAGAAAUAUUUAAGACAUAAGCAGAGGAAGAGAAGCCACUGAGUGCAUCCAGAAUUUAUUUUUUGGAAGUGCCCAGAAGCAGUAAAUGAACUUGGAGUGAAAGUGC